GUUGCAGUUUGUCCGGGGCCGGGUUUGAACCUGCAACCCUAUAUGGGGCUGGCGCCCUACCCACUGAGCCACAGGCACUGCCCGCUCGGCUAUUUUUUGAUUGUAGUUGUCAUUGUUGUUUAGCAGGCCCAGGCUAGAUUUGAACCCACCAGCUCUGGGGUAUGUGGCUGGAGACUUAGCCGCUUGAGCUCCAGGUGCCGAGUGUAUUUUUAUUUAAAAAAAAAAAAAAAAAAAAAAAUUUUUUUUUUUUUUUUUUUUGAGAUAGAAUCUUACUUUGUUGCCCUUGGUAGAGUGCCAUGGCGUCACAGCUCACAGCAACCUCCAAUUUUUGGGCUUAGGCGAUUUUUAAGCCUCCUGCAUAGCUCGGACUACAGGUGUUUGCCACAGCGGCCGGCUAUUUGUUGUUGCAGUUUGGCUGGGCUAGGUUCAAACUCACUACCCUUGGUAUAUGGGGCCCAUGCCCUACCCAUUGAGCCACAGGCACCACCCAGUUUUUCUAUUUUUAUAAGAAAUGGGGUCUUGUUCUGAUUCAGGCUGGUCUCAAACUCCUGAGCUCAAGGAAUCCACCCUCCUGGGCCUCUCAGAGUGCAAGGAUUACAGGCAUGAGCCACUGCAGCCAGCCUUGACGUCACUUUUCUAAGUCUCAGUGCUCAUCUUGGAAAUGGAGCUUACACAGCUGUUGUGAGGAUGAACCGAGGCACUGAUUUAGCGUAUGUGAGGCGCUGGGACUGGUGCCCGGCAGCGGGGGCUGGGGAAGUGCCCAGUAAGUCCUGCUGUUGCUCUUAUCACAUGUCCUUCUUGCACCCCCGUUCCCUGAAGGGUGGGCCUGCUGCCCCUUCCCAGCAUCCCUAAGGGUCCAUGAAUGUUGAAGUCGCUCCUGUAAAGGACACCAGUGGUGCCCCGUGCUUGCCCUACACAGCCCCUGCUUGCAGCCUAGGGCCACGCACAGCUCUCUGGCCACCUCCAUCUCCUCCCUCCACUCCUUCCCCGAUCCAGCUCCCUAACUGCAGGUCUCUGGGACUCUGUCCUGGGCCUCUCUGUUUUCUCUUUCCACCUUCUCUGGGGUACUUGCCUCUUCUACACCGAUGGCCUUAGCCUAGUCACCGCAGAUGCCACCUCUCUGUCCCCAGAUGUGGGGCUCCUGUGGCCUCCGGACAUCUUGCCCCACAUGAACCCCUCAGGCCCCUGACUCCCACUGUGUGCUAAACUGUCCUCAGCUUCUCCCCCGGACUUCCUUCCCCUCCCUGGUCAUCCCAUCUCAGUUUGGUCUCACUGUCCCCCAGUCUUCCAGACUUCUCCUGUCCCCACCACCAUUCCCUUCCCUCCUGCCACAGCCCUGCUGCCCCGCAGCAUGUCCACUCAGCCUCCUUAGGGGCCCUCUACAGACCCCCUUCUCCCUUCCUGGUGCUCUUCCUGACCCAGCCUAUCCUCUUCCCCUGGGGUCCUGUCCCUAAGCUUCUGGCCAGUUUCUACUUGCAAGUGACCCCGCUUCCUGGCACUUCCAACUGACUCUGCAAUGGCCUGUCUGGGACAGCCACCACCUCUACUUCAGAGGCCCUCCUCUUUGGCCUCUCCAGUCUCCACAGACUGUCAAAAAUUGUCAAUGCUGUGCUUGCUUCGGCAGCACAUAUAUUAAAAUUGGAAUGAUACAGAGAAGAUUAGCAUGGCCCCUGCACAAGGAUGACACGCAAAUUCAUGAAGCGUUCCCGACUAUUUCAAGUCAUCUUGGCGGGGUAUUGGGAAAAGUUUUCAAGUAGCAAUAAUUGUGCCUCGGAUAAACUUCACUGGUUACAAUACUGCCACUGCACGAAGCUGGCCUCUCCAGUCUUCUCACCUGACCUCAGAUACCUAUGGAGUUCUCCAGGAUGUCAGCUCCACGAGGGUGGUGUGUGUUCACCACUGAAUUCCCAGCACUGAGAGCAGGGUCUAGCUCCUGGUGGGAGCCCCAGGACCCUCCAUUACUAGGUACGCAGGCCCAGGGCUGGGCCCUGCAAUGGAUUUCACAAAAACGCAGUCUGAUCAACCCACUCUCCUCCUUAAGAACAGACGCCUUCCCUUCCCUGAUUACUCACUACUCUGUGUCGAAGCUUUCUUGAAUAAGAACCUUCCUUUCAAGUAUAUUAAAAAAUUUUUAUUGCUAGGCUUGGCGCUCAUAGCAAAGUGGUUAUGGCACCAGCCACAUACACUGAGGCUGGCAGGUUCAAACCCAGGCUGGGCCAGCCAAGCAACAAUGACAACUGCAACAGAAAAAUAGCCGGGCGUUGUGGCAGGCGCCUGUAGUCCCAGCUACUUGGGAGGCUGAGGCAAGGGAAUCGCUUGCAUCCAAGAGUUUGAGGUUGCUGUGAGCUGUGAAGCUACGACACUCUACUGAGAGCAACAUAGUGAGAAUCUGUCACAGAAAAAAAAAAUUCUUAUUGCUUUUUAAGGCUGUACAAGCUUUGUAAAAACUUUUACCCUGAUACCACGACUAACUUGGGGCACUUGCCUUUUAACUUCCCCAACCUACCCCCACUGAGAUAUCUACUAUCCAUGGUAAUCAGCUAGAUUAUUUUCCUCUGCAUAUAAAAACUUUUUUUUUUUGAGACAGAGUUUCACUUUGUUGCCCUGGGUAGAGUGCCAUGGCAUCAUAGCUCACAGCAACCUCAAACUUUUGGGCUCAAGUGAUUCUCUUUCCUCAGCCUCAUGUAGCUGGGAUUACAGGCACUCACCCCAAUGCCUGACUGUUUCUUUUUAGAGAUGGGGUCUAAGUCUUGCUCAGGCUUGUUUUGAAUUUCUGAGCUUAAGCAAUAACCUGCCUUGGCCUCCCAGAGUGCUAGGAUUACAGGUGUGAGCCACUGUGCCUGGCCAAAACUCAGUAUUUUACAUUAUUUUUACAAAAAGGUUAUACCAUACAGUGUGACACCAAAUCUUGUGUUUUCCACAGAACAAUAUACUACAGACAUGCCUCAUCCUUUUAAGCAGCUACAUAGUAUUGCAUUGUAUGGA